rnacentral:rRNA from 1 species
UACGGAGGGGGCGAGCGUUAUUCGGAAUUAUUGGGCGUAAAGGGCGCGUAGGCGGCUUGGUAAGUCAAAGGUGAAAUCCCUCGGCUCAACUGAGGAAUUGCCUUUGAAACUGCCAGGCUUGAGGCCGGGAGGGGGUAGCGGAAUUCCCAGUGUAGCGGUGAAAUGCGUAGAUACUGGGAGGAACACCAGUGGCGAAGGCGGCUACCUGGACCGGAACUGACGCUGAUGCGCGAAAGCGUGGGGAGCAAACAGG